rnacentral:misc_RNA from 1 species
GAAAUGCGAUAAGUAAUGUGAAUUGCAGAAUUCAGUGAAUCAUCGAAUCUUUGAACGCACAUUGCGCCCGCCAGUAUUCUGGCGGGCAUGCCUGUUCGAGCGUCAUUACAACCCUCAGGCCCCCGGGCCUGGCGUUGGGGAUCGGCGGAAGCCCCCUGCGGGCACAACGCCGUCCCCCAAAUACAGUGGCGGUCCCGCCGCAGCUUCCAUUGCGUAGUAGCUAACACCUCGCAACUGGAGAACGGCGCGGCCACGCCGUAAAACACCCAACUUCUGAAUGUUGACCUCGAAUCAGGUAGGAAUACCCGCUGAACUUAAGC